GAGCAGUAUCAUUUCAUCCAAUUGAUAAGACUAGAAACAUAUCGUUUGGAGAUUUACCUGCAGAAGAGCAUCACAUUUUAAUCUUACAAUGGACUUCUGCUCUGCAUCACAGCAAACCAGAAGCCUCAGCUCAUGGAUCACCCUCUUCCUCCUGUACUCAAUUGUCACCAUGUGCACUAGAGUAGAGGGCUGGUCCUACCAUCACUCCAACAAACUAUGAACUGGGACACUGCUAGAAAGUGGUGCACGGAGCACUACACUGACAUGGUGGCCAUCCAGAACCGUGGAAAGAUCUACCACCUUAAAGGUCCCCAAAGCACACACAUUCAUGAGUUGUUCGUCUUUUCAGUUCGUUACAGCUAGCGACUGGAACGAGCUGCAACAAACACUCAAACUGGACAGUUUUAUAUAUAAUAAUAAU